rnacentral:rRNA from 1 species
AUGGGGGAAACCCUGAUGCAGCAACGCCGCUGAGUAUGAAGGCCUUUGGGUGUGUGAAGCCUCUGUCCUAGGGGAAGAAAAAAAUGACGGUACCCGAGAGAAGCCCCGGCUAACUACGUGCCAGCAGCCGCGGUAAUACGUAGGGGGCAAGCGUUAUCCGGAAUUAUUGGGCGUAAAGAGUGCGUAGGUGGUCUACUAAGCGCGAGGUGAAAGGCAAUGGCUCAACCAUUGUUAGCCUUGUGAACUGGCAGACUUGAGUGCAAGAGAGGAAAGCGGAAUUCCUAGUGUAGCGGUGAAAUGCGCAGAUAUUAGGAGGAACACCGGCGGCGAAGGCGGCUUUCUGGAUUGUAACUGACACUGAGGCACGAAAGCGUGGGUAGCAAACAGGAUUAGAUACCCUGGUAGUCCACGCCGUAAACGAUGAGCACUAGGUGUCGGGACAUGAGUCUCGGUGCCGCAGUUAACGCAAUAAGUGCUCCGCCUGGGGAGUACGCACGCCAGUGUAAAACUCAAAGGAAUUGACGGGGACCGCACAGCAGCGA